CCGCUGCCUAUGCAAUGCACCC
rnacentral:miRNA from 1 species